rnacentral:lncRNA from 1 species
CCCAGCGUCCUCCCUAGCUCGUACUUCCCGAGCACUCGCACCCCCUCUUCUCCUCCUUCCCUCACCAUCUAUAUAUAUUUCUUGAUCCACGCACGCAGGCAGCGGCCCUCCUCCUUUGUGCCUCUCUUGCUGUGGAGAAGGAGCUCGGAGGAGAAGGAGGCGAACGGGGUCAGAGCUGGAGAUGCGGCCCUUCGUUAUACAUGAGGACAGGGGAGGAAGGGAGGUGAGGAGACGGCCUUCCUUCCCCUCGCAGCUUCAAUAAUACCUGCAUUUAUUCACCCUGCAAGG